UACAGUUUUCUGCGUUGUGUAAAAUCCACGCUUGGAUGUGAUUAAGUGAAAAGCUGCUCUAUGAGCUAUUUUUCAACGCAAUUGGUUUAAAUACAAUUGCUCUCAGAAAUCUCCAAACAUAAUUUGGCUCAGUAGAAUGAAUUACAUCUAAUUAUCUGCUGAAUUGAUAUCCCAUGUGGUGAGAUCUAGUUCGAUAUCGCUUUUAAGUGUUUUUAUUUAUCUUUGAAGAUACGCUAAGUUGCUUAUCCAUACUGUGAUCCUUUGGUAUGUAUACAUUGUAACUGCAAUUCACAUGAGUACACUGCAGAUAAACAAAACGAUAUAUUUAUGAAAUGCUUUCUACAUUGUUUAGAUUAUAAAUAU